CAGAGGGGGACUGAGACACGGCCCCCACUCCUACGGGAGGCAGCAGCUAAGAAUAUUGCACAAUGGACGAAAGUCUGAUGCAGCGACACCGCGUGAGGGAUGAAGGUUUUAGGAUUGUAAACCUCUUUUAUUAGGGAAUAGCAAGGAAGGUACCUAAUGAAUAAGCUACGGCUAACUACGUGCCAGCAGCCGCGGUAAUACGUAGGUAGCGAACGUUGUCCGGAAUCACUGGGCGUAAAGGGUCCGUAGGCGGUUUGAUAAGUCUCAUAUGAAAACUUCAAGCUCAACUUGGAGAGGUUGUGAGAUACUGUCAAACUAGAGACUGUUAGAGGUAAGUGGAAUUCCAGGUGUAGUGGUGAAAUGCGUAGAUAUCUGGAGGAACACCAGUGGCGAAAGCGACUUACUGGGACAGUUCUGACGCUAAGGGACGAAAGCGUGGGGAGCGAACCGGAUUAGAUACCCGGGUAGUCCACGCCGUAAACGAUGAUUGCUAGGUUUUCGGGGCAUCGACCCCUCGUGAGCCGAAGUUAACGCGUUAAGCAAUCCGCCUGAGUAGUACGGCCGCAAGGCUAAAACUCAAAGAAAUUGACGGGGGACCGCACAAGCAGCGGAGCGUGUGGUUUAAUUCGAUGGUAAGCGAAGAACCUUACCAGGGUUUGACAUGUAAGUAGUACUGAACCGAAAGGGGAUGGACCCGCAAGGGAGCUUACACAGGUGUUGCAUGGUUGUCGUCAGCUCGUGCCGUGAGGUGUUGGGUUAAGUCCCGCAACGAGCGCAACCCUCUUUGUUAGUUGCACUCUCUAACGAUACUGCCCUUAAAAGGGAGGAAGGUGGGGAUGACGUCAAAUCAUCAUGGCUCUUACACCCUGGGCUACACACACGCUACAAUGGCAAGUACAGACGGUUGCCAACCCGCGAGGGGGAGCUAAUCCGAUAAAACUUGUCUCAGUUGGGAUUAUAGGCUGAAAUUCGCCUAUAUGAACGUGGAGUUGCUAGUAAACGCAGGUCAGCACACUGCGUUGAAUACGUUCCCGGUCCUUGU
rnacentral:rRNA from 1 species